UUGCGCAAGACCAAUGGACACCCUCCCCUGUCACUGUCCGCCCUCACCGGCUUGGAACUCACCAAACAGGCUAGGCUAACUGGCCAGGAGACCCCAGGGAAUCCUCUUUUUUUCCCAACCUCCCCACCGCUGAGAAUACAAACGCACACGGCCCACUUUUUUAGGUGGGUCCUGGGAUCUAACUCGGGUCCUCCAAAGAGUUAAUAGAGAGAAGACGCUGGUGGCUGGAUCCUCCAUCUCCAUUUCCUCAGCCCGUGGGGGAGACGGUGUUGGUCCACAGCAGGCUUUCUUGGUUCAGCUGGCCUUGGCACUCUGGAGAGGGAACCCUGUGCCCCAGGAACCUGUUGGUCCAAAACAACUGAGAGAUAUGUAGACAAGAUCUUUUCCCAGCGUGGUGUUCCAGCCAAGCAUCCCUGGGUCCUGAGCUGGAAGGGUUGAGGUUCUGUGGUCCUGGAAUGUUUCUGAAAUCCUCCUCCUGUCCCAUGUGGGAUUGAGCCAAGAGUACCCACCCACACUCUGAGGGCUGCCUGGGCUUGGUCCAGUCCAUACCCACCUGCUGCGGUCCACCCUGAGAUCUCUACACCGGCUGCAGCUCAUCCUCCGGCUUCUUCUUCCGAGUGCCUUCCACGAAGAAGAAGUCCAUGUGCGUGAGGGCUCUCCCCAGGGGCGUGUCCACCCUGCUGCCCACCUCCUGGCUCGUGGAGCUGGGGAGUGUGUCUGAGAAGAAGGGGACAUCUGCAGGCAGCUCCUCUGGCUCCUUCUUAUUUCCCUGAGGAGAGGAGACAUCUCAGGUCACGGGCGCCGUGGGAAACGAAGAACCUGUGCACUGUGUUUGAGGCGUUCUUUGGAUGCUCACAUCCUGGUUUGGAGCUGGAAACCAGAAUGGGAGCUAGAAAGGGUCUUGACAACAUCCACUUCGGGCAGGGUGGAGUGUCGACUGGAGAUGCAGACUCAGAGCGUUUACUCAAGUCCCUUCUCCUCAGGGCACUUGGGGCACACAUUCCUCCGAGAUGAGCAGACUCCUCAACUAGGCAAGAAGUCUCAGCGGCAAAUGAGCCACUUGGUUUUGUUGUUUUGUUUUUGACACAAGGCCUCACUCGGCAGCCUUGGCUGGCUUACUACUUGCUGUAAGGAACAGGCUGGUCCGGACAAUACAGAGAUGCGCCUGCCUCUGCCUCUCCCAGAGUGCUGGGAGUAAAUGUGUACGGGUACCGGCUCCUGGUUUAUUUUUAGUGAAACUCGGAGGGCUGGAGAGGUGGUUUAGCCUCUGAACAUCAAGCGUCCAGUUCUCAGCACCCACAUCAUGAACAAUCAUCCCUCCAGCUUCCCCUUUCUCUCCUAUAACUGCAUAUACAAACAUACACAUAGAAAUACGCUCACACAGACAUACCAAAAAAGUGUGUGAGUGUGUGUGUGUGUGUGUGUGUGAUAUCUUUAAUAAAAUCAACAAACUG